AACGAACGCUGGCGGCGUGCCUAAUACAUGCAAGUCGAGCGAGACUCUUCGGAGUCUAGCGGCGGACGGGUGAGUAACACGUGGGCAACCUGCCUGUAAGACUGGGAUAACACCGGGAAACCGGUGCUAAUACCGGAUAAUCCUUUUCCUCUCAUGAGGAAAAGCUGAAAGUCGGUUUCGGCUGACACUUACAGAUGGGCCCGCGGCGCAUUAGCUAGUUGGUGAGGUAACGGCUCACCAAGGCGACGAUGCGUAGCCGACCUGAGAGGGUGAUCGGCCACACUGGGACUGAGACACGGCCCAGACUCCUACGGGAGGCAGCAGUAGGGAAUCUUCCACAAUGGACGAAAGUCUGAUGGAGCAACGCCGCGUGAGCGAUGAAGGCCUUCGGGUCGUAAAGCUCUGUUGUUAGGGAAGAACAAGUAUCGGAGUAACUGCCGGUACCUUGACGGUACCUAACCAGAAAGCCACGGCUAACUACGUGCCAGCCGCCGCCGUAACAC
rnacentral:rRNA from 1 species